rnacentral:sRNA from 1 species
AAGCGAAUCAGAAAGGGAAGGAUAAUGUGCUUUAGCGCGGACCGAAGGGUGAGGAACGAAGUGACGAAUAAUCCUUCCCCCACCACCA